UACAGAGGUCUCAAGCGUUGUUCGGAUUCAUUGGGCGUAAAGGGCGCGUAGGCGGCCACCGCAAGUCAGUUGUGAAAUCUCUGGGCUUAACCCAGAAAGGUCAACUGAUACUGCGGGGCUAGAGUGCAGAAGGGGCAACUGGAAUUCUCGGUGUAGCGGUGAAAUGCGUAGAUAUCGAGAGGAACACCUGCGGCGAAGGCGGGUUGCUGGGCUGACACUGACGCUGAUGCGCGAAAGCUAGGGGAGCGAACGGG
rnacentral:rRNA from 1 species